UGCAUGUCUAGCAUGCGAGUCAUUGUAGCAUACAAGGCAUACGGCUCAGCAACGCGUAGUCAACCUAACCUAUGGACGGGAAUAACCUCGGGAAACUGAGAAUAAUGCCCGAUAGAACACUAUACCUGGAAUGGUUUGUGUUCCAAAUGAUUUAUCGCCAUAGGAUGGGACUGCGGCCUAUCAGUUUGUUGGUGAGGUAAUGGCCCACCAAGACUAUUACAGGUACGGGCUCUGAGAGGAGUAGCCCGGAGAUGGGUACUGAGACACGGACCCAGGCCCUAUGGGGCGCAGCAGGCGAGAAAACUUUGCAAUGUGCGAAAGCACGACAAGGUUAAUCCGAGUGAUUUGCGCUAAACGAAUCUUUUGUUAGUCCUAGAAACACUAACGAAUAAGGGGUGGGCAAGUUCUGGUGUCAGCCGCCGCGGUAAAACCAGCACCUCAAGUGGUCAGGAUGAUUAUUGGGCCUAAAGCAUCCAUAGCCGGCUCUGUAAGUUUUCGGUUAAAUCUGUACGCUUAACGUACAGGCUGCCGGGAAUACUGCAGAGCUAGGGAGUGGGAGAGGUAGACGGUACUCGGUAGGAAGUGGUAAAAUGCUUUGAUCUAUCGAUGACCACCUGUGGCGAAAGGCGGUCUACCAGAACAUGUCCGACGGUGAGGGAUGAAGCUGGGGGAGCAACCGGGAUUAGAUACCCGGGUAGUCCAGCCUGUAACUAUGCAACUCAGUGAUGCAUACUUGUGUGAUGCAGUGCUGCAGGCAAGGUCGU
rnacentral:rRNA from 1 species